AGUGAACGCUAGCGGCGCGCCUAACACAUGCAAGUCGAGUGGGUUCAGACCCACGGCAGACGGCUGCGUAACACGUUGGUACCUGCCCCGAACUCAGGGAUAACCCGCCGAAAGGCGGGCUAAUACCGGAUAGUCCCGAAAGGGUAAAGAUUUUUCGGCUCGGGAGGGGCCUGCGGCCUAUCAGCUAGUUGGUGAGGUAACGGCUCACCAAGGCAAUGACGGGUAGCUGGUUUGAGAGAACGACCAGCCAGAACGGAACUGAGACACGGUCCAUACUCCUACGGGAGGCAGCAGUGAGGAAUCUUCCGCAAUGGGCGAAAGCCUGACGGAGCGACGCCGCGUGGUGGAUGGAAGG
rnacentral:rRNA from 1 species